rnacentral:antisense_RNA from 1 species
CUCGCAAGACCUGGUUGUUUAAAAGUGGGCGGCACCUUCCCCUUCGCUCUUCCUCCUGCUCCUGCCCUGGUGUGUCUGGAUGGUGACAGAUGGGAAUCUUCUCCAGUGACCAGAAUCCAUGCCUUACCUUGGGAGCCCAAGCUAACUUCUCAAGCUCUGGGGAUGCCUCAGUGAUCUCUGAUAUGGAAUUAGUGGAGGCUGGCCGUUGCUCACCUCUACACAGCCUGCUGGUCAUUAGCGAGCAGGAGUUCUGAUGUUCCUCUCAUCUUGGAUGUCUUUCCUAGGAGAAUAUUUCUCACGUGUUUGACAGAAAACACUACCUGUCCAUCAUUUCCAUGGAUUCCUGGGUCUCACGGGCAGAAGGACAAGGCAGAUAUGAGGAGGAUCUGGUAAAACCAUAAACACCAUGAGAUUAGAGCAUCCGUCUGUAGACUCACAGAGCAAGAAGCGUGACUGCCCCAAUCUCGAAUGGAUGAGUAAGAUGAAAAUCAAUUUAUAAACAUCUCGUGACAAGUUGGAAUUCAGUUAUAGAUCAAUUACAGAUUGCUCACUGGACAAUCAAGGACAUUAUUAGAAAACAGUUUCCACCACUAGAAAUUCAUCUACAUCGACAUCCACCUAAAUAUCCAGAAGGUCAUCCCCACUUUCGUCGCUCUCCACAGUCAGCUGCCGGGUCCACCACUUCUUAACUUCAGAACCGCAGGAAGCCGCGUCAGUCAUGGGGUUCAUUUUGCACACGACAGAUUUCAUGGUUGUCCUUCCUCCAAACCGAGGAACCUAGAUCUUCUCUGAUCUCUGAAAAAUAAGUUCCUGGAUAUGAAAGGGGAUACUUUCCUUGGUGGUAGUCCCAGUGAAGACCCACUGAACAUCGUCAGCCUCAAAAUGUAAGCUGUGCUGUCAUCUGCUUUGUGGAACACAUAUGCUACACAUCUUCUCCUUUCAAUUGGGCUGAAGUUGGGGCACAGUUAAAGAGCAUUAUAAAGCUCCUGCUUUAGCAUGAACUUAGUUAUCUAUAGAAAAAAACAUGUACAAGGACUCUGGACUGUGGGGAGCAUUGCUCUCCCUCCAUUCCUGAGUGCUCUUAAUGGGAUUAUCCUGGCUUUCCAAAACCCUAUAGAGAAGAAGCUCAUAGAAGAAAAUUCUCUUACUGAAUCAGUAAAAUAUGGAAAAUAAUGGGAUUGUUUAUUAAAGGACUGAAUGAGAGAACACAAGUAAUGCACUUAGAAGAGUGACUGGCAUACAGUGAGUACUACGUGCUGGCUUCUCAACCACGAUAGCCUGAAAUGUACCCGGAAAAUGGGGGCUAAUGUAAGUCAUAUUUAGAGAAGUUAUUUUGGGGGACAAUGUUUUUGACAAGACUACAUUUUUCAUUAUGUUGCUGUCUGUAAACAACUGUAGAUGCAGACUUGCAUUUUGAAAGGCAAGACCCAAAACACACAAACAGAGUAAAUACCUUUAAAAUGCCUCGAUCGCUGGAGAAAUGCCUGGAUGGACCUACCUGAGGGCAGACGCCACUGCCCAAAUUUCCUCUGGGGUUUCCCUGCAUCGGCGGCAUCUUGCCGACUUCCUCCUCGAUCCGACAGCGUGGGGCUCAGGAGCUGCUGCUGGCUGCUUGUCUGCAUGGGAGGAGAAGCACACAGUUACCGUCUUUUUAACCCUGCACUCUCCUCCUUUUACUAUAAGAAAGGAAAACACAUGGCAGGAGGACAAGUGGGAAGAACAACAUGGACUCAGAGUGUCCACAAUGGGGAAAAGUGAAAAUGGGUAUAAAGGGUCACAGAAGAAAAAGAGCCACCACUGCACGCCCUGCUGAAGGAGACACCACUCUUCCUGGGACAUCUUGUCCUGGGUAACCCCCACUGCUUCGUUCCCCUCCAUGCCUGAGAAUGUCAUUGUUUCCCUUCAUAUCUUCGCUGGCAAACCAGGGGGUAAGGAAGGGGAACUGCAGGAAGGAAGGUGGGGCAGUGGGGACCGGCUGGGCGGGGGCAGUCUACUGUCACCAGCCUGGAGAUCCACACUUAGAGCUUCAGGGAAAGAGUUCUCUGCAGGCAAAGCUGUAUGAUGGGCCCUGGCGGAGGAUGGAGCUGAUAACAAUCUAAGCUACAGUCAAAGAGAGAUGCCAAGACUUCCCACACAUUUCACCUGUUCUCAGGUUCACCUGUCACCUCUCCCUUUCCUAACAAAAGCCUUGGUCUUCACAUCUCUUUAGUAUCCUCUCUCUUUUUUUUGUCACCUCUUAGGCUUUUUCAUCUAAAAACAGAGGGCUCUGAAAUCAUCACUUUCCCCAACCUCAUUAUUAGCCCUGUCUCACUGUCUGUCCUGACUUCAGCCUGCCUCCCUCUCCCAUGCGAGACAUUGCCAACCAUCUUCAGGGUGACCAGUGGCAAGGCCACUGCAGAUGCCUCCCCUUGCCCCUUGGUUGACUAACUAACUCCGCAGAAGUCCCUGCAGUCGGUGGCAGAUGAUUUCUAAAGGCUGGGGAGCCCAAAACAUGAGAUCUACUGAAAACUGAGCUAUGGCACCAGUGGGCCUCCUGGAGCACCCUGCUGGGCCAUGGAGCCUUAGGCUUCCAAAGGUACUCUGGCCCCUGGCUGCGUUGCUGCACACCAUGGAGCCUGGUGCUGCUGGGGGCUCUGCACAGAGCAUGGGAUCAGCUCCACGUUGUUAACCUCAAAUCGUAAUUGCUGCCUCAUAAAGGGGCAGGUCCUCCCAGCCAGCUGCUUCUCACAGCACAGGACUCUCCAGGACGCUGAUAACUCCUUGUACUUUUUUAUAUAGACACAUACAUAGAGUUUGAAAAUGAAAAUAUGCUGUGACUUAAUAAAUAGAAACUCCUCAA